UGGAGUCUGGAGUCUAGGGUGGUGUCUAUGGCUCCAGUUGCCACUGAAGGCUAUGCUGAUGCUCCGGGGUCUGGUCAGAAACCUGGGACCAUGUUGAUUUCCCAGGCAUGCACUUCACCUGGAAAGCCAUGAGAGCUGACUCUGUGGUUGGGAGGCAGGUGAAUGACCCUGAUGGCAGAAGAGCGAGAGAACUGAUCCCACUCCACCCCCUAUCUGCCAUGUGGUGCCAUGGAUAAGAGAAAGACGUCCUUCUCCACAUCACCCAUUACCCCUUGAGGCAGGUGAGAGAGCUGGCCCUGGCGUCGCAAGAGUGGGAGAGCUCACCCUGACCCUCACCGGCUGUAGCGCGUGAGAAAGCAACCUCUGCUUCCCAUCUUGGCAGCACACUAGAGUUGACCCCGUUGUCAGGGUCACAGAUACAACUUACAUUUGGGAUUUACAACAUUCCAUAUUUGCUUCAGCUAUAUUUGGGUAUAUUCAAGAUGGACUCACUCUUAUUGACGCAGUACAAUGAUUGAUUGCACAACACAUGUUGAUAUUUUCCUGCCCUGUUUUGCUGGUUUUUAUAUCAACUUGGCCAUCGUGUCUCACUCACUGGCAACCCCGCCCUCUUCUCUUUGAAGUCUCUGUCUGCUUAAAUUAAGAAUAAACUUCAUUAAGACUAA